rnacentral:lncRNA from 1 species
GCCACAUAGCUCGGGAUUGUUCUGUAGCAAAACCAAGUUCAACAGGGAUGGUGACUCCAAGGGUUGUCCCGGAUAAGUCGAAAUCAGCGGUUCCUGGAAGAGCGUUUGUCGUGACUGGCCAAAACGUGAGGAACCCGAACGAGGUGAUCACGGGUAAGCUAAUCUUGAACUCUUGCGAAGUUUAUACCUUACUAGAUACCGGUUCUACCCAUUCUUUUAUCUCUCCUACUUGUGCUCAACGUUUAAACUUG